UACGUUGGUCCCGAGCGUUGUCCGGAUUUAUUGGGCGUAAAGCGAGCGCAGGUGGUUUAUUAAGUCUGGUGUAAAAGGCAGUGGCUCAACCAUUGUAUGCAUUGGAAACUGGUAGACUUGAGUGCAGGAGAGGAGAGUGGAAUUCCAUGUGUAGCGGUGAAAUGCGUAGAUAUAUGGAGGAACACCGGUGGCGAAAGCGGCUCUCUGGCCUGUAACUGACGCUGAGGCUCGAAAGCGUGGGGAGCAAACAGG
rnacentral:rRNA from 1 species